UACAGAGGGUGCAAGCGUUAAUCGGAAUUACUGGGCGUAAAGGGUGCGUAGGUGGUUUAAGAAGUUGGGCGUGAAAUCCCCGGGCUUAACCUGGGAACUGCGUUCAAAACGCUUAAGCUAGAGUAUGGUAGAGGUAAGUGGAAUUUCCGGUGUAGCGGUGAAAUGCGUAGAGAUCGGAAGGAACAUCAGUGGCGAAGGCGACUUACUGGACUAAUACUGACACUGAGGCACGAAAGCGUGGGGAGCAAACAG
rnacentral:rRNA from 1 species